rnacentral:rRNA from 1 species
UACGGGGGGGGGCAAGCGUUGUUCGGAAUUACUGGGCGUAAAGGGUUCGUAGGUGGCCUACUAAGUCAUACGUGAAAUCCCCAGGCUCAACCUGGGAACUGCGUCUGAUACUGGAUGGCUUGAAUUCGGGAGAGGGAUGCAGAAUUCCAGGUGUAGCGGUGAAAUGCGUAGAUAUCUGGAGGAAUACCGGUGGCGAAGGCGGCAUCCUGGACCGACAUUGACGCUGAACAGCGAAAGCUAGGGGAGACAAACGGG